UACAGAGGGUGCAAGCGUUAAUCGGAAUUACUGGGCGUAAAGCGUGCGUAGACGGUUAUGUAAGUCGGGUGUGAAAGCCCCGGGCUCAACCUGGGAAUGCCAUUCGAGACUGCAUAGCUAGGGUGCGGAAGAGGGAAGCGGAAUUUCCGGUGUAGCGGUGAAAUGCGUAGAUAUCUGAAGGAACACCAGUGGCGAAAGCGGCUUCCUGGUCCAGUACCGACGUUCAGGCACGAAAGCGUGGGGAGCAAACAGG
rnacentral:rRNA from 1 species